UACGUAGGGACCGAGCGUUGUCCGGAUUCAUUGGGCGUAAAGAGCUCGUAGGCGGCUGCUCAAGUCGAAUGUGAAACCUCGAGGCUUAACCUCGAGCCUGCAUUCGAUACUGGGCGGCUAGAGUCUGGUAGGGGGAUCUGGAAUUCACGGUGUAGCAGUGAAAUGCGUAGAUAUCGUGAGGAAGACCAGUGGCGAAGGCGGGUCUCUGGACAGUUCCUGACACUGAGGCACGAAGGCCAGGGGAGCAAACGGG
rnacentral:rRNA from 1 species